GGGUGUGUCCUGCCUGUGCCCGCGGCGCCAGACGCUUGACCGUCGACACGCGAUCGAAUUAACGGCCGGACGACAGUACACGGACAUCGGGCGUUCGACUGUGUAAAUACGAGAAAAACAACAAAAAAAAAAAAAAAAUGAAAAAACGAAAAAAACAAACCCAACAGCUUUUGAGCGUUUACGAUUAAUAUUUGCCGGCGCGGGUCCAACCGAUUGUUCGGACAACACGCGCGAGAGCGAUGAUAACGAUGAUUUAUUACUGGGCACAGUUGGCGAGUUGGGUACCCGUGUCAUUGUUAUUAUUGUAUUACCGCGCGCUCGGACUGCGGGCGCCGUUGGCUUAGUCGAUGACUCAUUAUCGAUUAAUGGGUUUACAGAUCACGGCGUUGUAACCGGGAUUACGACAAACGCGCGCAAUAAUUAAUGGCGAUAUGAUCCGAAGAAUACACGAACACAAGUAAUCAUGGCUUAAGUAUUUAAGCCGUUCAAGUAAUAAAACAAUUAAUAUUUUAUAUUAACCGAAAUAGCGGGCGGGCGGUAGACCACGGGCU